UACGUAGGGGGCAAGCGUUGUCCGGAUUUAUUGGGCGUAAAGAGCGUGUAGGCGGCCAGGUAGGUCAGCUGUGAAAACUCGAGGCUCAACCUCGAGACGCCGGUUGAAACCAUCUGGCUAGAGUCCGGAAGAGGAGAGUGGAAUUCCUGGUGUAGCGGUGAAAUGCGUAGAUAUCAGGAGGAACACCUGUGGCGAAAGCGGCUCACUGGACCAUAACUGACGCUGAUGCACGAAAGCUAGGGGAGCAAACAGG
rnacentral:rRNA from 1 species